rnacentral:rRNA from 1 species
CCUACGGGAGGCAGCAGUGAGGAAUAUUGGGCAAUGGGCGCGAGCCUGAACCAGCCAAGUAGCGUGAAGGAUGACUGCCCUACGGGUUGUAAACUUCGUUUAUAAAGGAGUAAAGUGAGGCACGUGAGCCUUUUUGUAUGUACUUUAUGAAUAAGGAUCGGCUAACUACGUGCCAGCAGCCGCGGUAAUACGGAGGAUCCGAGCGUGGUCCGGAGUUAUUGGGUUUAAAGGGAGCGUAGAUGGGUUGUUAAGUCAGUUGUGAAAGUUUGCGGCUCAACCGUAAAAGUGCAAUGGAUACUGGCAGACUUGAGUACAGAUGAGGUAGGUGGAAUUCGUGGUGUAGCGGUGAAAUGCGUAGAGAUCAGGAAGAACUCCGAUUGCGAAGGCAGCUUUCUAAACUGUCACUGACAUUGAUGCUCGAAAGCGUGGGGAUCAAACAGGAUUAGAUACCCCUGUAGUC